rnacentral:rRNA from 1 species
UACGGGAGGCAGCAGUGGGGAAUAUUGCACAAUGGGCGCAAGCCUGAUGCAGCCAUGCCGCGUGUAUGAAGAAGGCCUUCGGGUUGUAAAGUACUUUCAGUCGUGAGGAAGGUGUUAAGGUUAAUAACCUUAGCAAUUGACGUUAGCGACAGAAGAAGCACCGGCUAACUCCGUGCCAGCAGCCGCGGUAAUACGGAGGGUGCGAGCGUUAAUCGGAAUUACUGGGCGUAAAGGGCACGCAGGCGGUUAAUUAAGUUGGAUGUGAAAUCCCCGGGCUUAACCUGGGAAUGGCAUUCAAGACUGGUUAGCUAGAGUCUUGUAGAGGGGGUAGAAUUCCAUGUGUAGCGGUGAAAUGCGUAGAGAUGUGGAGGAAUACCGGUGGCGAAGGCGGCCCCUGGGACAAAGGCUGACGCUCAUGUGCGAAAGCGUGGGGAGCAAACAGGGAUUAGAUACC